AUGGCGCUCCUCGUCGGGUCGAGCUCGGCGCGGCCGUUGGGCGGCAAUGUGCUGGCCGGAGAGACCGCUGCCGUGGUAGUCUCCGACGACUCCGGCCUCCAGCUUCUCCAGCGACUGUAUCUGCAGAACCUUCAGGGAGGACUACCAGGGCCGUCGUGCUCGACGAACAGCCCAAACGUUAAAUGCCCACCACCCCCAUCUAUGGGUUGA
rnacentral:rRNA from 1 species